GAUGAAGAACGUAGCGAAAUGCGAUAAGUAAUGUGAAUUGCAGAAUUCAGUGAAUCAUCGAAUCUUUGAACGCACAUUGCGCCCGCCAGCAUUCUGGCGGGCAUGCCUGUUCGAGCGUCAUUUCAACCCUCGAGCCCCCCCGGGGGCCUCGGUGUUGGGGGACGGCACACCAGCCGCCCCCGAAAUGCAGUGGCGACCCCGCCGCAGCCUCCCCUGCGUAGUAGCACACACCUCGCACCGGAGCGCGGAGGCGGUCACGCCGUAAAACGCCCAACUUUCUUAGAGUUGACCUCGGAUCAGGUAGGAAUACCCGCUGAACUUAAGCAUAUCAAUAAGCGGAAGA
rnacentral:misc_RNA from 1 species